rnacentral:lncRNA from 1 species
ACAUUUUGCUCUCUUUAGGAAAAGACAACAUUGAUUUUAGAGGUUUUUGUUAUGGAGGCCAGGGGGAUUUUUCCAGUGCAGCACAGAGAAAUCUGGGUUUGGAUUGGGAAGCCAGACAUUUCUUGGCUUACAUUUCCUACUUGAAUGGGAUUCGUUUGCCCCCUCCUCACCUCUCCCCAACCCCCAGGCAGCUAGAAGCCCCACCUCCUUGCUUGGACCAUAUGGGGAAGCUGGCUCGGUGGCUGUUAUUCUACUGACUCCAAGUUCACGCAGCUGUUCAUCCCCUGCUUAAUGUACUGGUUGCCUGUGUCUGUACCCCGUUUCAUCUUCACUUCUGGGAACCAGGCUGAUGGAGAAGUCUUCUAGCAGAAGUACUAUGGGUCAUGAUGGCAGAAAGAAGAGCAAACUUGGUGGACCAUGUGCUGGCCCUUGAUGGGUCUACUCAGAUGGGUCACGUAUCUCUGCUCACAAGGUAGCUACCCUUGCAUUUCAUCAGGGCUCUGCUUGCAAGAAUCGCAAGGCAGAUCAAGCCUAGCGGCCUAAGAUUGAAUAACUGAGGCUUGAUAGAGUUACAUCACUUGUCCAAAGAGAUAAUGCCAGUGAAUGGAAUAGCCAGAUCGAAUUCCAGAAUCCGUAAAGCUCCACUGCUUCUCUCUGAAUGUAAUAACCCAUCCACAAGCCCUAAGAUAUUAGACACAUCAGUGAUCACUCCAUCUGCUUUUGGCCCAUUGCUGUUGUCAGGAUUUAUGCAUUUAUGUCUGCAAUAAUUAUUUAUUGAGGACCUUCUCUCUUGCAAUUGCAUAUGGCCUUAUAACUGAAUUCUGACUUUAUGUCUCUCUUAGGAUAGACAGAUAAAAAUUUUUCAUAUGUGAUCUUCUUUCUGUCCCCUACCUCUCAGCUAUGAGCCUGAAACAGCAGAUUCAGUAGAACAGAGUUUCUCAGGAAUGGCAGAGCCACAAGUUGGGAGGAGCCCAGCUCUGUCCAACAACCUGGAACAUCCAUCAACCAGGAAAACUGUUGCACUUUAUGUGAUUAAGAAACAUUUUUUAAGGAAAAAAGCAGUAAAUUUUUGGGUUAUAUUUGUUGCAAUAGCUGUGUUACUUUCCUAAUGCACAAUCACAAAUGUAAAAUGCCACACACAGAGUGUGAGGAAAUAUAUUGCUAUUGGACUACUUGUAGUCUAUUUAAUUUUUUUAUAUAGCUAUAGCCAGAUCUGGGGUGAAAUGGUUUAGAAUAAUAAUUUCCAAUAGUAUACAUCAUACCUUUAAAAAGACUUUUAUGGAUGGAUAAAUAUCUAAUUAUGGAACUGCCCUGCAACGUAAGUGGUGAGAGAAACUCUUUAUAUAUGCUUUGUUUUUUUCUGAAUGCAUAGGUUCAGAAUUAUUAAACAAAUCCUCAUCUUUUGACAGCCAGUAAUCAAUUUCUCAUUUGCAGGGAAUCUAAUUGCAUUAGAGGGGACACUGGGGAAGUUAUGGACUACCUCAUCUUUCUACUAUAAAAAAUGAAACUACUUGUCUGUAUUGAAUUUGAUUUUAUAUGUUCAAUGAAAUAUAUCAUAUCCUUAUAAUAAAGUUAUAUAAGUUGC